UGUACAGUAUCAGUUAGUUGGUGGGGUAAUGGCUUACCAAGACUAUGACGCUUAACUGGUUUGAGAGGAUGAUCAGUCACACUGGAACUGAGACACGGUCCAGACUCCUACGGGAGGCAGCAGUGGGGAAUAUUGCACAAUGGACGAAAGUCUGAUGCAGCAACGCCGCGUGGAGGAUGACACAUUUCGGUGCGUAAACUCCUUUUAUAUGAGAAGAUAAUGACGGUAUCAUAUGAAUAAGCACCGGCUAACUCCGUGCCAGCAGCCGCGGUAAUACGGGGGGUGCAAGCGUUACUCGGAAUCACUGGGCGUAAAGAGCAUGUAGGCGGAUUGAUAAGUUUGAAGUGAAAUCCUAUAGCUUAACUAUAGAACUGCUUUGAAAACUGUUAAUCUAGAAUGUGGGAGAGGUAGAUGGAAUUUCUGGUGUAGGGGUAAAAUCCGUAGAGAUCAGAAGGAAUACCGAUUGCGAAGGCGAUCUACUGGAACACUAUUGACGCUGAGAUGCGAAAGCGUGGGGAGCAAACGGGAUUAGAUACCCCGGUAGUCCACGCCCUAAACGAUGCACACUAGUUGUUGUGAGGCUAGACCUUGCAGUAAUGCAGUUAACACAUUAA
rnacentral:rRNA from 1 species